rnacentral:rRNA from 1 species
GAUGAACGCUGGCGGCGUGCCUAAUACAUGCAAGUCGAGCGAACAGACGAGGAGCUUGCUCCUCUGACGUUAGCGGCGGACGGGUGAGUAACACGUGGAUAACCUACCUAUAAGACUGGGAUAACUUCGGGAAACCGGAGCUAAUACCGGAUAAUAUAUUGAACCGCAUGGUUCAAUAGUGAAAGACGGUUUUGCUGUCACUUAUAGAUGGAUCCGCGCCGCAUUAGCUAGUUGGUAAGGUAACGGCUUACCAAGGCAACGAUGCGUAGCCGACCUGAGAGGGGGAUCGGCAACACUGGAACUGAGACACGGUCCAGACUCCUACGGGAGGCAGCAGGAGGGAAUCUUCCGCAAUGGGCGAAAGCCUGACGGAGCAACGCCGCGGGAGUGAUGAAGGUCUUCGGAUCGUAAAACUCUGUUAUUAGGGAAGAACAAAUGUGUAAGUAACUAUGCACGUCUUGACGGUACCUAAUCAGAAAGCCACGGCUAACUACGU